CCAGGCCAAAGUCUGCAAUCUUCGCCAUAAAGUUGGCAUCAAGAAGGAUGUUCUGUGGUUUUAUGUCGCAGUGGAUAAUCUGUGUGCUGCACUCCUCGUGCAAGUAGAGCAGCCCUCGUGCCACUCCAAGUGCAACUUGCACACGGAGGUUCCAAUCCGGCCGAGCAUCACCGAAUAGGAAUUCGUUGAGCGAGCCAUUGGUCAUGAACUCAUAAACUAGCAGUCGGUGAGUUCCCUCACUGCACAAACCAAGCAGCCUGACCAAGUUCUUGUGAAACGUCUGCCCGAUGGUUUGCACCUCCACCAUGAACUCCUUCUCAGUCUCUUGCUGGAGUUUUUCAAUUUUCUUGACCGCAAUGCUGGUAGCAUGCUCAUCUUGCAGCUGUCCUUUGUACACGGUACCAGAGGCACCGCUGCCAAGCACCUCACGGAAACCACUAGUUGCCUUCUCCAGAUCAUUGUAAGUGAAAAUCUUUGGGGGCAAGAUAGAACUACCUGACGGUUGCGGUGACUGGAGUUUCUUCUUGGAGGUUAUGGAGAUACCGCAGUAAGUGCCGAAGAGCAGAAUACUGAUCAGGAGAAUGUUUACCAAUACAGAACCCCCAAAAAACAAGGAACUCCCAAGAAUCCAAUACUUCUUGUCCUUCUUCCAUUUGCUAGAGCCAGUGUUCUGGGACUGUGAAUUGUUGCNGGUAGCCAUUAUUCUUCAAACUAUUAUCGAAUUUUGAAGAAGAUAACAUACAGAUGCAUCAAUGAUGCUAUUUGUUCAGCUAAACAUGAGUGCCUGAAAUGCUAUAUUUACCAUUAAUUCUGAAGCAUCAAUAGAAUACAGUAUUGCAUAAUCUUGCUUCAUGCUACAACUUAUUUGUUAACAAGCAGGCACAAGUGAACUGAUGAAAGGAAUACAGUAUUGCAUAAUCAUGCUUCAUGCUACAACUUAUGAAAGCGAACUGAUGAAGGAAGAGGGAUCCGGAGGCGUGGGGAUCUGCACUGCUCCAUCAAGCAUCUGUGUCACUUUAAGCAUGGUUGGCCGCAUGGUCGGCUCCUCCUGGAGGCACCAAAGGGCUACAGCCACGAAUCGCUCUGCCUUUUUGAUGUUGAAGUUUGCCUCAUCGUCGCCUUCCACCAGCAAGUCGAUCCUCCCGCACCUGUAACAGUCGUUUGCCCAGUAAGUCAGUAUCGCCUGCUCUUCAUCGGCGAUCUCUAGCUCCACAUUCCUUCUGCAGCAUACAAGCUCCAGCAGGAUCACCCCAAAGCUGUAAACAUCGACUUUGGAAGUGAUCCCUAUGUUCUUGAACCACUCUGGAGCAACGUAACCUCGAGUACCCCGGAUGCCGGUGUUUGUCUGUGUCUGAUUGGCUCGAAGAAGCUUCGCCAGGCCAAAGUCUGCAAUCUUCGCCAUAAAGUUGGCAUCAAGAAGGAUGUUCUGUGGUUUUAUGUCGCAGUGGAUAAUCUGUGUGCUGCACUCCUCGUGCAAGUAGAGCAGCCCUCGUGCCACUCCAAGUGCAACUUGCACACGGAGGUUCCAAUCCGGCCGAGCAUCACCGAAUAGGAAUUCGUUGAGCGAGCCAUUGGUCAUGAACUCAUAAACUAGCAGUCGGUGAGUUCCCUCACUGCACAAACCAAGCAGCCUGACCAAGUUCUUGUGAAACGUCUGCCCGAUGGUUUGCA
rnacentral:lncRNA from 1 species